AUUGAACGCUGGCGGCAGGCCUAACACAUGCAAGUCGAGCGGAUGAAGGGAGCUUGCUCCUGGAUUCAGCGGCGGACGGGUGAGUAAUGCCUAGGAAUCUGCCUGGUAGUGGGGGAUAACGUCCGGAAACGGGCGCUAAUACCGCAUACGUCCUGAGGGAGAAAGUGGGGGAUCUUCGGACCUCACGCUAUCAGAUGAGCCUAGGUCGGAUUAGCUAGUUGGUGGGGUAAUGGCCUACCAAGGCGACGACCCGUAACUGGUCUGAGAGGAUGAUCAGUCACACUGGAACUGAGACACGGUCCAGACUCCUACGGGAGGCAGCAGUGGGGAAUAUUGGACAAUGGGCGAAAGCCUGAUCCAGCCAUGCCGCGUGUGUGAAGAAGGUCUUCGGAUUGUAAAACACUUUAAGUUGGGAGGAAGGGCAGUAAGUUAAUACCUUGCUGUUUUGACGUUACCAACAGAAUAAGCACCGGCUAACUUCGUG
rnacentral:rRNA from 1 species